rnacentral:ncRNA from 2 species
UGUAAAGCGAUGAGAGGAAAUCCAGUAGCGACGAUCUCCAUGUUUAAGAGAGCCGGUGGGUGGUGCGAACCGGUACAAAGGUCGGGUGAAUUACAAUCCUUGAGCGUCCCUGCAUUCGUGGGGAACGGACGAACCGUUAUUCGAUUGAGUGGAAGAAUCAUUGUCUUCAAGAAGGGUGGUACCGCGUGAGCAAUCACGUCCCUUUU